GGCUCCGGCUCCGUGCGCUUACCGAAGCACGGAGGAGCUGGAGCCGCACCAAACGGUAUUGACCGCGGAGCCAUUUUUUGGCACAUUUGGGAGGAGCCGGAGCCGUUUUAGGCCUGCAUGGAGGAGCCCAAAAAAGUGGCUCCGCGGCUCCGGCUCCGGCUCCGCAUGAGGAGCCCCUCGCGAGGAGCCCUGCCAAAGGAGCCCUUAUUCCACCCAACAGGAUCGGGUGAUAGCACAGGGAUCCACCCACUCCCGGUAGGGAAUAAAUCAGCCUUUGUAACCGUUCCACCCCUGCCGAACAAAGCAGGGGAUGAGGGGCGGCGGCUCAAACAGAUCACCAACGAGAUAUCUAGAUCCACCUCCUCUGAUCAAGCCCAUGGCACUGGCACCCAUGGCGUCCAUGGUCGCGCGUGUUGCCCAUCACGCGUCCGCCAGAUCUGCCUCCCUUGCUGCUCGCUCAGGCAACGCAUGCAAAGAUCUGAUCCUGGGCAGCCGCUCCAACCCAGCAGUUCGCCCUCAGGGUAAACUUACUGGCGAUGUCUCCCCCAAGCGCCCCAUCCAGUUGUUUGGAUGCGCCCAUCACGACGCCCGCCGCCGAUACACCCAUUCAUUCCACCAAGUCGAUUGCGUCGCUGGUAAUCCAGCCCUCUGAAGCUUGCAGCUAAGAUCUCCAGCACGAGUUUGUUGCACAAGAAAAGGACAUGGAGUCAGAUGAAGCAAUGUGGGCCUUGUAUCAGCGCUGGUGCGAACAUUUUAAGAUUGAGCGUGAUCAUGAUGAUAUGAUCCGUCGGUUUCCCGGUUCAAGAACUGUGUAUUGCAAGUGCAUCAAGUGAACAGAGCUGGUCUCUCCAACAGGUUGGCUAUAAACAAAAGGGCUGAUACUUCUCUUUUCAGAGAAAAACAGGAAGCGGCCUAUACUAUUGGAUGAGGCUUCUGCGGGAUUCAAAGCCCAGAAGGAGUUUUCCAUGAAACGUGCGCCGUCUGCUGAUGACUGAACUUAUUACAGUCUGAAUAAUCACAACCGAUCCUUAGUUAGUUAUUAAGAACCAUGCACUUAUGGUUUUAUCUUGUUAAGACUUGUGGACUCAGCAUCUCCAGUUAAGACUUGCUGCUUCAUCUUUAACCAUCUUUAUGCACAACUAUGGACUUACCGUUUUAUCUUAACCUGGACAAUGUUUUAUCUUCACCUAUGGACCCUCGAGUCAGCAUCUUUAUGUAAGAAUAUGGACUUUACUGUGAUGUUUUAUCUUAACUUAUUGGAGGGAGUCAGCAUUUUCAUUGUGCCUCAAAAGUAAUGUAUGUACCCUCUUCGUCCCAAAUUACAAUUUGUUUUAGCUUUUCUAGAUACA